rnacentral:piRNA from 1 species
GUGCUGUGAUGUCUUUCUCCUCUGAGGA